UGGGCUAGGAGAUGUGUGUAAGAGACUAUAGCUGAGCCACCCAGGCGCCCCAGGAAAUUAUUUCUUUCAAGCCCGUAUCAUUCUGUGGGUGUAGAGCAUGUCUACAUGCUUUUAAUUACUUGCCACACCGAAUCUGCCUCUGUUUUGCU